UCUGUCCACCGGCUCGGUGGGGAUGAGAGUCCGCAACGCGGUAAACGCUCCGUUGACAUUCUGGGUACGGUCGCGCUCCCGCGCAUUGGCCGCGUUGCGCUGCUUCACCACCACGCCACCGCCCAGCGCGCGCGCCACGCGGCGGUGCGCCUCCGUCUCCUCCGAGCAGCAGCCGUAGCUCCGGUCCGAGCUGCUGCCGUCGCUCUCGCUGCGGUCCUCGUCCUCAUCGUCCGACAACACGUUUACAUCAGCGUGGGCUCACCUCUACCUGAUGCUCCCCACCGUGUCUCUCAUAGACGCUGCCAGAGGAGCUGCAGAGCUCCAACAGCUCCCGUUCCACCCUCUUCCUUCUCUGCGUCACCUGGGAUCACAUCCCAGCCCCUCACGUUAACCCCUCAGCGGCUUACACUGGAGCUCUUGCCAGUGUCUCAAUGUCUAAAGGUCGUCCACAGAGUUGCAUAGUUGCUUAUCCCCUGAGGGCCGAUGUGGCUGGGGGCCAGGUUGAACCAGGGGCCCGGGUUCUCAUGACACCUGACCCAAAGAACAUCCUGCCUGCUCUACAGAGGGGCCAGAAUGGGUGCCAGUAGAGGACGCCUGCACACCCAGAACAGGUGUGAGCCGAGAUACUGUCCUGCACUAUGGGACCUGCCAAGGUGGGCCCAUGUCUUAAUGCCGGAAGUUUAGAGCUACAAUGGCAAUUUGUCUUUGCUGCGGGAAUUGAGUGAAGGAUUUGAGUGAAGUUGAGCUUACAUUUUCUACAUUAUGUUAUAAUGUGUUAAGUAGAGUAUCAAUAUUGUUUUUGCAUGCAAAAAUUAAGAUCUGAUAGUAAUAUAUUAGGUCUGACAUGUUUAUGUUUACGUGUGAAAUUGGUUGAAGAUAGUUAUCAGGUAGGCUGAGGUAGAUGGAAGAAGCAAUACAGGAUCCGAUUGCCUACUGUUGAUUUCCAGCAUUCACAUGUAAUUAGCAUCCCAUUGUUUUAUAACUAGACUGAGGUUAUUCUGGAGCUCAGAAGUGGUUUCAGGUUUGGCUCCCCCUGUCGGCCACAAGAUGACGUGCAGUUAUAAACCAGCCAGUUAUUAUUUCAUAAAGAAUCUUUUGAUAAAAGAUGUAUUUUGUCGAAAGAUAUCCUUGGAAACUUUCUUUAGGAUAUAGUCUAUGACGGUAACAUAUUGUGAAAAAUGAAAUGCUAGGUGGGUGGGUUAUAGAUAGGUACAGAGACAAUGAAGAAAACAAUCUUGUUUAAUAAAUAUGAAGAAUUACAAUUUGACUAAAUUCUAAAUCAAGUAUAAAUUGUCUUUUAACUCGACAGGUAGUUCAGAGCUAGCUGCUUCAAUAAAACAAUAUUUCAUCUUGUGCAUAGAUUCAUAGGGCAAAAAACACUUUUCGGUAAUUAUUUAAAUGUUCUUUAUCAUAAUCAUCACCAAAU